rnacentral:rRNA from 1 species
AAUGAACGCUGGCGGCGUGCCUAACACAUGCAAGUCGUACGAGAAAUCCCGAGCUUGCUUGGGAGAGUAAAGUGGCGCACGGGUGAGUAACGCGUGGGUAAUCCACCUUCGAAUCUGGGAUAACUCCGCGAAAGCGGUGCUAAUACCGGAUAAGACCACAGCCGUUUCGGCGGCAGAGGCAAAAGCUGACCUCUCCAUGGAAGUUAGCGUUCGAGGACGGGCCCGCGUCCUAUCAGCUUGUUGGUGGGGUAAUGGCCUACCAAGGCAGCGACGGGUAGCUGGUCUGAGAGGAUGAUCAGCCACACUGGAACUGGAACACGGUCCAGACUCCUACGGGAGGCAGCAGUGAGGAAUUUUGCGCAAUGGGGGAAACCCUGACGCAGCAACGCCGCGUGGGUGAAGAAGGCUUUCGGGUCGUAAAGCCCUGUCAGGUGGGAAGAACCGUUUCGAUACUAAUAAUGUCGAAGCCUGACGGUACCACCAGAGAAGCACCGCCAACU